GACGAACGCUGGCGGCGUGCUUAACACAUGCAAGUCGAACGGAAAGGCCCUGCUUUUGUGGGGCGCUCGAGUGGCGAACGGGUGAGUAACACGUGAGUAACCUGCCCUUGACUUUGGGAUAACUUCAGGAAACUGGGGCUAAUACCGGAUAGGAGCUCCUGCUGCAUGUUGGGGGUUGGAAAGUUUCGGCGUUUGGGGAUGGACUCGCGGGUUAUCAGCUUGUUGGUGGGGUUGUGGCUUACCAAGGCUUUGACGGCUAGCCGGCCUGAGAGGGUGACCGGCCACAUUGGGACUGAGAUACGGCCCAGACUCCUACGGGAGGCAGCGGUGGGGAAUAUUGCACAAUGGGCGGAAGCCUGAUGCAGCAACGCCGCGUGCGGGAUGACGGCCUUCGGGUUGUAAACCGCUUUCGCCUGUGACGAAGCGUGAGUGACGGUAAUGGGUAAAGAAGCACCGGCUAACUACGUG
rnacentral:rRNA from 1 species